rnacentral:rRNA from 1 species
CGUUACCUACAGAAGAAGCACCGGCUAACUCCGUGCCAGCAGCCGCGGUAAUACGGAGGGUGCGAGCGUUAAUCGGAAUUACUGGGCGUAAAGCGCAUGCAGGCGGCCUGUUAAGUCAGAUGUGAAAGCCCGGGGCUUAACCUCGGAAUUGCAUUUGAAACUGGCAGGCUAGAGUCUUGUAGAGGGGGUAGAAUUUCAGGUGUAGCGGUGAAAUAGCGUAGAGAUCUGAAGGAAUACCAGUGGCGAAGGCGGCCCCCCUCGGACAAAGAACUGACGCUCAGAUGCGAAAGCGUGGGGAGCAAACAGGAUUAGAUACCCUGGUAG